rnacentral:rRNA from 1 species
GCAUAUCAAUAAGCGGAGGAAAAGAAACCAACCGGGAUUGCCUUAGUAACGGCGAGUGAAGCGGCAAAAGCUCAAAUUUGAAAUCUGGCGUCUUCGACGUCCGAGUUGUAAUUUGAAGAAGGCGACUUUGUAGCUGGUCCUUGUCUAUGUUCCUUGGAACAGGACGUCAUAGAGGGUGAGAAUCCCGUGUGGCGAGGAUCCCAGUUAUUUGUAAAGUGCUUUCGACGAGUCGAGUUGUUUGGGAAUGCAGCUCUAAGUGGGUGGUAAAUUCCAUCUAAAGCUAAAUAUUGGCGAGAGACCGAUAGCGAACAAGUACAGUGAUGGAAAGAUGAAAAGAACUUUGAAAAGAGAGUGAAAAAGUACGUGAAAUUGUUGAAAGGGAAGGGCAUUUGAUCAGACAUGGCGUUUGCUUCGGCUUUCGCUGGGCCAGCAUCAGUUUUAGCGGUUGGAUAAAUCCUCGGGAAUGUGGCUCUGCUUCGGUAGAGUGUUAUAGCCCGUGGGAAUACAGCCAGCUGGGACUGAGGAUUGCGACUUUUGUCAAGGAUGCUGGCGUAAUGGUUAAAUGCCGCCCGUCUUGA